rnacentral:sRNA from 1 species
GGCGUCAUGCGUAAGGGGCAAUAGCUGAACCGAAACUGCUAAAGUGAAACGGCGCGUCAUAGAAGCAUGUGGCUUUUGCAUGUGAAGAUUCAUCGACACCGGCAUAUGUACUGGUUCCGCCCAGAUCAAAAGGGGUAUGCCACUGAUGGCCAAACGAGUGUGCUCGGCAAAAACAUACGCCAUCAGGAUGAAAGCCCUGCAACGUGUUCUGGUAACAAAAUUCGGAGUAGUCGCAUCUGUAAAAAGCCUACAGAUGCGAUUUG